UACAGAGGGUGCGAGCGUUGUUCGGAAUUACUGGGCGUAAAGCGCACGUAGGCGGCUUUGCAAGUUAGAGGUGAAAGCCCGGGGCUCAACUCCGGAAUUGCCUUUAAGACUGCAUCGCUAGAAUUGUGGAGAGGUAAGUGGAAUUCCGAGUGUAGAGGUGAAAUUCGUAGAUAUUCGGAAGAACACCAGUGGCGAAGGCGACUUACUGGACACAUAUUGACGCUGAGGUGCGAAAGCGUGGGGAGCAAACAGG
rnacentral:rRNA from 1 species